GCCGCUCGCUGCAGCCUGUAGGAAGGCGGAGUUGGACAUCCAACCCCGCCCACAUCCAACUCCGCCCAUGUCCAACUCCGCCUUACGUCUAAAGCAACACCCACCUUACGUCCGUCACGAACACCUACAUUUACUCCCGGUAAACAGGAAUUGUAGCCGAGAAAGCAGCUAAAGCAUCUAUCUGAUUUAUAUCUCCGGUUAUGGCGCAUCCAACACAUGUCCAGGCCACUCCUGACCCUUCACGGUUUGGCCAGUGUGGUGUUUUCAAAUGCCCCUGCUUCAGUUUUGACACUGACCAGCGAUUUAAUAACAGCCUACAUCUACAAAACCAUAUCAAACAAGCAGUCGAGAAUAACGGAAAGUUCAGCGUGUUGAACGUGUGACUGAUGAAGGAGAUAGAAUGGGCAACGUCUCCUUUGAACAGAUGCCCCUUAUUCUCAUAGAUACAGUUCUGGAAGAGGGUGACAAAGCUUUUUUAAAGCUGUCACUGGUUUGUCGUCUCUUCCGGGACAUUGUUUGGACAACAAUCAUUCCGGGCCCAGGCACAUUUCGAGUGGCUUGACAGUGUAGUGCCAUGAAAACAUCACAGUGCUGCAUGUAAAGACGAGUUUCGCAGGAUGUACGAACUGCAGUGCUGCCAGAACUGUCAAGAAACUUAUAAAGACUGCAUACUGGGCUACGUUGGGCAUGGGAGACGAGGGGAGCUUGUGGCAUUUUACAGCGAAAACGAGCACCCUGGAUUCUGCAGCCAGCUUCAUGAGUGGCUGGGUGUGUGAGUGGCUGGGUGUGUGAGUGGCUGGGUGUGUGAGUGGCUGGGUGUGUGAGUGGCUGGGUGUGUGAGUGGCUGGG